rnacentral:rRNA from 1 species
AGGUUCGGACACUAGGUGGAUCCCAAAGAUUUCGGCACGAGGUUCUCUUACUUCCAAUCAGUGGAAUUGACCUUCCCGUGAAGAGCCGGGAAAUGCACAAAUAAGUACGAGAAUGACCCCUAGUGGAGCUUUAACUAUACCAUACCCAAAGAGAAUAGAUUUAACCAUUAAGGAAUAACAACAAUCUCCAUGAUUGUAUUUCGUUGGGGUGACCUCGGAGAAUAAAAUCCUCCGAGCGAUUUUAAAGACUAGACCCACAAGUCAAAUCACUCUAUCGCUCAUUGAUCCAAAAACUUGAUCAACGGAACAAGUUACCCUAGGGAUAACAGCGCAAUCCUAUUCAAGAGUCCAUAUCGACAAUAGGGUUUACGACCUCGAUGUUGGAUCAGGACAUCCUGAUGGUGCAACCGCUAUCAAAGGUUCGUUUGUUCAACGAUUAAAGUCCUACGUGAUCUGAGUUCAGACCGGAGUAAUCAGGUCGGUUUCUAUCUAUUACGUAUUUCUCC